rnacentral:lncRNA from 1 species
CUUUCUUUCUUUCUUUCUUUUUGAGAUGGAGUUUCACUCUUGUUGCCCAGGCUGGAGUGCAAUGGCGCCAUCUUGGCUCACCACAACCUCCUGCCUCCCGGGUUCAAGCAAUUCUCCUGCCUCAGCCUCCCGAGUAGCUGGGAUUACAGGUAUGUGCCUCCAAGCCCGGCUAAUUUUGUAUUUUUAGUAGAGACAGGGCGUCUCUAUGUUUGUCAGGCUGGUCUCGAACUCCCAAACUCAGGUGAUCCGCCUGCCUCGGCUUCCCAAAAUGCUGGGAUUACAGGCGUGAGCCACCUUGCCCAGCAAAAUGUAACAGACUUUUCACUAGCAAAGCAGUUAAAAGUAUCUUCUAUCUCUAUCAUCAAAAGUAUAUCUUUCUUUAAAUUCUAAAAGAGCACUUAAAAUCAUCUUAUUGUACAUUCAGGUCUAAAAUUACCAUCAACUUUAAAUGUCAAAAUUAUUGCAGAAAAUUAGAUAAACUGUAAUCAAUGUCUUCUCAAAAGAGACAGAUUUUACACAUAUUUUUAUUUGCAGCUUUGUUUUUCCACUUCAGAUACUGGAAACAUUCUAUUGUUGCAUUAAACCAACAAAUAUCUCAAUAAUAUACAUGUAUUUCUAUAAUAAGGAAUAACUUAGUAAUAUUCUAAUGGUGUUAACAGAAGAUAAUUCAACAGCCCUCAAUAAGGGACUUGAAAAAUGUUUCUCCCUCAUUUAAGUACAAACUUCUCUUCCUUCUAUCAAUCUUUUUUCUCACUAUUUUUUCUUUCUCUUUUUCUUCUCCCCUUAUAUUAAAAACACAAUUUUUCAAUUAUAGAACUCUGAUCUCUUAUCAAGCACAUAAUUCAUUUAACAAGUUAUUUUUUAGUACAUUCCUAAAUAGUAUGUUUCAGGUUCUGUUCAGAAACUAUGGCUUAGAAUUUUAGACAGGCUUAAACAGGACUAGAUCUGGCUUCAUAGAUUAUUACAUUCUUUUGUUGCUAUGCUACUAAAUGUAAGAAUGGUUUGAAACAGGACCUCCAAUUUCACCCAAAAACAUGCAAGUUCUCUUUCUUAAAUUCCAUAUAAUCACUUGAGUAUCACAGGACUGAAAAAGAACACAUGAAUUUGUUUGCUACAUAAAGAGCUACAUUUAGAAGGCCAUGUGACUAGAAGAGAAGAUUUAUGCAAUUCUUAAACAGUUAUGGAGGUUAAGAAGUCCAUGGUCGAGGGGCUACAUCUGCUAAGAGCCUCCUUGCUGGUGGGGACUCUCCAAGAAUCCCAGGACAACAGAGAGCAUCACAGGGCAAGGGGGCUGAGUGUGCUCAUGUGCUCACUCAAGUCUCUCUUCCUUUUCUUACAAAGCCACCAGUCCCACUCCCAUGAUAACCCCUUAAUCCAUUAAUUCAUGAAUGGAUCAAUCACUUCUUAAAGGCCUCACCUCUCAACACUCUCACAUUGAGGAUGAAAUUUCAACAUGAGUUUUGGAGAGGACAAAUAUGUAAACUAUAGUACAUCACAAUAUCAAUAACACAAAAUGUAUACCAAAAGAGAGGUACAUUUGACUUUUGAAAAGCCAGGUUUGAACUACAUGGGUCCACUUAUACACAGAUUUUUUUCAAUAAAUAUAUUUGGAAAAAUUUUUGGAGAUUUGUGACAAUUUAAAAACACUCGGGCUGGGUGUGGUGGCUCAUGCCUGUAAUACCAGCACUUUGGGAGGCCAACUUGGAAGAACUGCUUGUGCCUGGGAGUUCAAAACCAUCCUGGACAACACAGAGAGAUCCUGUCUCUGCAAAAAAUAAAAAUAAAAAUAAAUUAGCCAGGCCUGGUGAUACAUGCCUAUGGUUCCAGCUAUUCAGAAGGCUGAAUGGGGAGGAUCACCUGGGCCUGGGUGGUUGAGGCUGCAGUAGGCCCAAGAUGGCGCCACUGCACUCCAGCCUGGGUGACAGUGAGACUCUGUCUCAAAAAAUUUUUUUAAAUAAAUAAAUACAAUAAAAACACAGACAAACCACGUAGCCAGGAUAACAAAAACAUUAAGAAAAAAG